rnacentral:miRNA from 1 species
CUUCCAAAGUUUGCAAAUUUUGUAUACUUUUGUAUUGCAAUUUUCGCAUGCAAUACAAAAGUAUACAAUAUUUGCAAACUUUGCAAGGCUAU